rnacentral:rRNA from 1 species
GUGCCAGCAGCCGCGGUAAUACGGAGGGUCCAAGCGUUAUCCGGAUUCACUGGGUUUAAAGGGUGCGCAGGCGGUCUGGUAAGUCAGUGGUGAAAGCCUUCGGCUCAACCGGAGAAUUGCCAUUGAAACUACUAGACUUGAGUGUAGUUGAGGUGGGCGGAAUGUAGCAUGUAGCGGUGAAAUGCAUAGAUAUGCUACAGAACACCGAUAGCGAAAGCAGCUCACCAGACUACAACUGACGCUGAGGCACGAAAGCAUGGGUAGCAAACAGGAUUAGAAACCCCGGUAGUCC